GGAGAGAUGUCCGAGCGGUUUAAGGAGCUGCCCUCGAAAUGCAGUGUGCUUUAACAGGUACCGUGGGUUCGAAUCCCACUCUCUCCGCCA
rnacentral:tRNA from 1 species